CAAACCCGUGAACUGCGAGAUCAUGACCUCAGCCGAAAUCAUGACCUGAGCCGAGAUCAAGAGUCAGCUGCUUAACCGACUGAGCCACCCAGGUGCCCUUCAUAACAGGUUUUAGAAUGAUCUGACAAGGGUGUUAAAGCAGCCAUGAUACAAAUACUUCAACAAACAAUUAGGAACAUGAAACCAAUGGAAAAAUAAAAACAAGUAUCAGCAAGGAAAUAGAAGAUAUAAAUGGAUCUCAAAUGGAAUUUGAGAACUAAAAAAAAUAUAACCAUAAUAAAAACCUCAACAGCAGAAUGAAGGGCACAGAGGAAAGAAUCAGUAAACUGGAAGAUAGAACAGUCGAUGUUACCUAACCUGACCAACCCACUAAAAAAAAGACU